GACGAACAGCAAAUAAACGGUCAUCGUCGGGUUCAUCCGCGCCGCCGAUUCCACGGCACAGGCUUGCCGGGCGUUCAGCACAAGACCCUCCUCAUCGAAGCAGGAAGUCUCGUGAAAGAAGAUGUUCCUUCCUGAUUCUUCAAAAAAAUCAGACAAUUUCGCUGCGUUUAAAAAUAGCUUGAGGUACAUUAAAUACGGACAACAUAUUGCUUGGAAAUUUACGCAAAAGUGAAUAAAUCCUAUGCCAUCUGCGGAUGAGGUUUCAUCAUAGCAUCUGAUAUCGUUGAUCGCCGACACGUCGAGGAACGGUAUCCUUUGGAUGAUGUUGUUCUCAGUCGAGAUCAUGAGGAUGAGAAGCACGACGGCGAAGGCGAAGCCGC